rnacentral:lncRNA from 1 species
AAAAAUACAAAAACUUAGAAUUUAAAAGAAAAAUAACUACUUAAGGGGGUGGGGUAAGAAAAACUACUGCUGGCUGGGUGGGGGGUUAAAUCACUCAAGAAACUUAAUCGACUUCCUCCAUCUUGCUGCCCUCUGCAUCAGCAUCAGCGUCCUCCAAUGGUGGCAUCUCUGCGUCGCCCUCCACAGCGUCAUCAUCAAUGCUCAGUCCAAGCUUCAACAUCCUGUGGAUCCUGUUGCCGAAGGUGUUGGGGUCGUCGAGGCUGAACCCGGAGGUGAGAAGAGAAGUCUCGAACAGGAGGAGGACAAGGUCCUUCACCGACUUGUCGUUCUUAUCUGCAUCAGCCCUCUUCCUGAGCUCCUCCAUGAUCGGGUUCUCGGGGUUGAUCUCCAUGGUCUUCUUGGAAGACAUGUA